UUUAUGAUAGUCACACAGAGAGAGAGAGGCGGAGACACAGGCAGAGGGAGAAGCAGGCUCCAUGCACCGGGAGCCUGACGUGGGAUUCGAUCCCGGGUCUCCAGGAUCGCGCCCUGGGCCAAAGGCAGGCGCCAAACCGCUGCGCCACCCAGGGAUCCCCCUUUGCUGGCUUUAAAGAUGAAGAAAGGGGCCAUGAACCAAGGAAUGUGGGCAGCCUCUAGAAGCUGAAAAGGCAAGGAAGCAGAGCCUACAGAAAGAAACACAGCCUUGUAACAGUUUGAUUUUAACUUGGUGAGUCCUUGCCAGACUCUGACCUCCAGAAGUAUAAAGGAAAUGUGUGUUGUUUUAAGCCACUACAUUUGUGGUGAUUUCUUAUGGCAGCAAUAGAAAACUAAUAUGGUGACAUAGUUGGUUAAGCACCUGACUCUUAGUUUCAGCUCAGAUCAUGAUCUCAGGGUCUUUGGAUCAAGCUGUCCAUCAGGCUCUGCACUCAGUAUGGAGUCUGCUUAAAAACUCUCUCUCCCUCUCUCUGCACCCCCAUCAAUGCUCUCUCUCUCUAAAGUAAAUAAAUAAAUCUAUUUUUAAAAAAGAAGAAAAGAAAACUAAUACAGCAUCUGACACAUCUUUACUCAUCACCCGGUGACAAUAUGUGAACUGAUGCAUCCUAAUGGAGAUGCAUGGUAAACUGGGAGUCUGUCCUUUUAUUAUUAAUCUAAUGGCUUAUUAUAUUAACUAUUAUAUUAACACAGUAGAUUAAACUAAGGGUUGCAUUAAUGAUUGUAAAAAAUGUAAACAUCUUAACUAUGCAUUAUGUUCCAUAAGAGAUGUUCCAUAAGAUAGUCUGCACACUAUCCUAAUUUGAAUUCCUUACGGGCCCUGGAAAACAGUGACACCACUUGUUAAAAGUGCCAGUGCCUUCGCAGUGGCAGAUUCCAAACAAGGCUAUGGUUUUAUUCUCCAAAAUCCUUUACAGUAAAGAAAAGGUGUGUUUCUACCUAAGUAAGGUAAAACCCAAGAACAAAAUGCAGUCUAGACUGAUAUAAUCUCCCAUCAAUUUGUAGAACCAGUGUUAGAAUUUUCUUAAUUUCAUAAUACUUAGACAUUGUUCAGUUGUUUUUUUGUUCAGGUUAUUCUCAAAAAGUCUGUGGUUAGAAUUUUGCAAUAAAUGAGAACAUAGAUUUUAUACGUGCUCCCUGAGCUGGAUUAAUAAGAGCCUUCUGGUCCUUCCCACCCAUUGCUGCAGCUCCACACAUGAGACCUAAGGCACUAUGCCACCCUCUUGGCCUCAGCUCAACCUCAGGGAUGGACUGCUAGGCUGGGGGCAGACCUGCCUGGUGGACUGCCAACUCUGCAAUGGCCAGGAUACUGGAGGGCUCCACCAUGAGGCAGGAUUCCUCAGUAAUAAGCUGCAAAGGAAUAUCCAUCCUCUUUUUAUUUAAAGAAACGGCUCUCCAAAAGAGCAUGCA
rnacentral:lncRNA from 1 species